UUUAUGGAGAGUUUGAUCCUGGCUCAGGAUGAACGCUGGCGGCGUGCCUAAUACAUGCAAGUCGAGCGAACGGAUGAGAAGCUUGCUUCUCUGAUGUUAGCGGCGGACGGGUGAGUAACACGUGGAUAACCUACCUAUAAGACUGGGAUAACUUCGGGAAACCGGAGCUAAUACCGGAUAAUAUUUUGAACCGCAUGGUUCAAAAGUGAAAGACGGUCUUGCUGUCACUUAUAGAUGGAUCCGCGCUGCAUUAGCUAGUUGGUAAGGUAACGGCUUACCAAGGCAACGAUGCAUAGCCGACCUGAGAGGGUGAUCGGCCACACUGGAACUGAGACACGGUCCAGACUCCUACGGGAGGCAGCAGUAGGGAAUCUUCCGCAAUGGGCGAAAGCCUGACGGAGCAACGUCGCGUGAGUGAUGAAGGUCUUCGGAUCGUAAAACUCUGUUAUUAGGGAAGAACAUAUGUGUAAGUAACUGUGCACAUCUUGACGGUACCUAAUCAGAAAGCCACGGCUAACUACGUGCCAGCAGCCGCGGUAAUACGUAGGUGGCAAGCGUUAUCCGGAAUUAUUGGGCGUAAAGCGCGCGUAGGCGGUUUUUUAAGUCUGAUGUGAAAGCCCACG
rnacentral:rRNA from 1 species